GAAAUGCGAUAAGUAAUGUGAAUUGCAGAAUUCAGUGAAUCAUCGAAUCUUUGAACGCACCUUGCGCUCCUUGGUAUUCCUUGGAGCAUGCCUGUUUGAGUAUCAUGAAAUCUUCAAAGUAAAUCUUUUGUUAACUCAAUUGGUUUCUACUUUGGUAUUGGAGGUCUUUGCAGCUUCACACCUGCUCCUCUUUGUUCAUUAGCUGGAUCUCAGUGUUAUGCUUGGUUCCACUCGGCGUGAUAAGUUAUCUAUCGCUCAGGACACUGUAAAAGGUGGCCAAGGUAAAUGCAGAUGAACCGCUUCUAAUAGUCCAUUGACUUGGACAAUACUUUUAUGAUCUGAUCUCAAAUCAGGUAGGACUACCCGCUGAACUUAAGC
rnacentral:misc_RNA from 1 species